rnacentral:rRNA from 1 species
UACGUAGGGGGCUAGCGUUGUCCGGAAUCAUUGGGCGUAAAGAGCGUGUAGGCGGCCUGGUAAGUCCGCUGUAAAAGUCAAAGGCUCAACCUUUGAAUGUCAGUGGAUACUGCCGGGCUAGAGUCCGGAAGAGGCGAGUGGAACUCCUGGUGUAGCGGUGGAAUGCGCAGAUAUCAGGAGGAACACCGGUGGCGAAGGCGGGUCUCUGGGCCGAUACUGACGCUGAGGAGCGAAAGCGUGGGGAGCGAACAGG